rnacentral:rRNA from 1 species
UACGUAGGCAGCGAGCGUUGUUCGGAGUUACUGGGCGUAAAGGGCGUGUAGGCGGCUCUUUAAGUUUGGUGUGAAAUCUCCCGGCUCAACCGGGAGGGUGCGCCGAAUACUGAGGGACUAGAGUAUGGGAUGGGAAAGUGGAAUUCCUGGUGUAGCGGUGAAAUGCGUAGAUAUCAGGAGGAACACCUGUGGUGUAGACGGCUUUCUGGACCAUAACUGACGCUGAGGCACGAAAGCGUGGGUAGCAAACAGG